GUGCAGCAGGCGCGAAAACUUCACAAUGUGCGAAAGCACGAUGAGGGAAUCCCAAGUGCUUGCACGUAAGUGUAAGCUGUUUCUCUGUCUAAAACGCAGAGAGAGUAAGGGCUGGGUAAGACGGGUGCCAGCCGCCGCGGUAAUACCUGCAGCUCGAGUGGUGACCGUUAUUAUUGGGCCUAAAACGUCCGUAGCCGGUUUAAUAAAUGCCUGGGUAAAUCGGACCGCUUAACGGUUCGAAUUCCGGGUAGACUGUUAAACUUGAGACCGGGAGAAGUUAGAGGUACUCCUGGGGUAGAGGUGAAAUUCUGUAAUCCUAGGGGACCACCAGUGGCGAAGGCGUCUAACUAGAACGGGUCUGACGGUGAGGGACGAAGCCCUGGGGCGC
rnacentral:rRNA from 1 species